GAUGAACGCUAGCUACAGGCUUAACACAUGCAAGUCGAGGGGAAACGGCAUCGAAAGCUUGCUUUUGAUGGGCGUCGACCGGCGCACGGGUGAGUAACGCGUAUCCAACCUGCCCAUCACUUGGGAAUAACCUUGCGAAAGUAAGACUAAUGCCCAAUGACAUCCCACGAAGGCAUCCGAAUGGGAUUAAAGAUUUAUCGGUGAUGGAUGGGGAUGCGUCUGAUUAGCUUGUUGGCGGGGUGACGGCCCACAAAGGCAACGAUCAGUAGGGGUUCUGAGAGGAAGGUCCCCCACAUUGGAACUGAGACACGGUCCAAACUCCUACGGGAGGCAGCAGUGAGGAAUAUUGGUCAAUGGGCGAGAGCCUGAACCAGCCAAGUAGCGUGCAGGAGGACGGCCCUAUGGGUUGUAAACUGCUUUUAUAAGGGAAUAAAGUGGGUCACGUGUGACUUUUUGCAUGUACCUUAUGAAUAAGGACCGGCUAAUUCCGUG
rnacentral:rRNA from 1 species